rnacentral:lncRNA from 1 species
CAUAUAUACACCAUAUAUAUACACCGUGGUGUAUAUAUAUAUAUACACCAUAUUUAUACUAUAUAUAUAUAUACACACCAUAUAUAUAUAUACACCAUAUAUACACCAUAUAUAUACACCAUAUAUAUAUAUAUAUACACCAUAUAUAUACACACCAUAUAUAUACACACCAUAUAUAUACACCAUAUAUAUAUACACACACACCAUAUAUACACCAUAUAUAUAUAUAUACACCAUAUAUAUACACACCAUAUAUAUAUAUACGUCCUCCAACCGAGACCGUCAUGGCGGGCGAAUGCAGGACAGAAGGCCACCCGUCCCCUGAGCGUCACACAUCCCCACCGUUCCUGUCCCGCUCACCCGCAUCCUUCCGCGCUCGUGCCGAGACGAGGCUGCCCGGGACCACCCAGCCCACGGGGCACCCGGGUUUCUUCCUCACGUCUCCUGUGGAAAACACGGUGGGACACAGCGAUGGUAGUCACCAAUUCCAUUUCUACAACUAUUCGGUUAUUUAUUCCACUUCUGCAACUAUUCAGUUAUUUAUUCCAUUUAUACAACUACUUAGUCAUUGGAAGAACUAAAUAUGGAGGGGGAAAAAAACAGAAAAACAGCAGAAAUGUUAGGUAAGGGCAUUACAAUGCUAGGGUCAAGAGUGCCCCCCCCCGCCAUCAUUCACAUCCACCCGGAACCUCAGAAUCUGCCCUGAUUUGGAAAUGAAAUCUUUGCACAUUGGGAACAUCCUACAACACACCCUGUCUAUGCAGCAAGGGGAGCUGUUUGGGGCGAGGGAUGAAGACCUCCCCGGUGGGGCCUGGUGGUUGACUCCUUGACGUUGAAAUAGGACGAUUCCGAUGCGGGUGGUUCCCAAGAUGAACCCGGAGGGCAAGGAGCCAUUUUCAAGCCAUCUCGGACCCUCCCGUCCAGGUGGCGGUCUGCUGGUGAAUUGUCCUCCCACCAGUUCACGCCCCCAGUUGACCCAUCUCUGGUCAUAGUCGGAGAAGCAUAAGCACCAAGUGCGUUCUUGUCGCCCACGCGCCAACGGGAUCAUUUCAGCAGACACCGACAGACUUCAUGGAGACAGCGGGUGGCUAUAGAAUGUCGGAGCAACCAACUGUAGAUCCUGCACACCCGACAUGAUUAAUGGCGGAGGAAGUCUUUGCAGAGACAAAUGGGGUCGUUUCCCCAGAAGACAGGCCAUCUGGCUGCCUUUGGAACCAACAAAAACAAGAAUCGUCCCCGGCGCUCUGUGUCUUGGUCAUCUGGGGCUCCCAUCAUCUUUAGGGGACAUUUGGUCCCGUCCAGAACGUCCAUGAGACGCUUGGUCCAUGAUAUAUCUGGUCUACACCAAAGGUCCUUGAAGUCUGGUCCAGUCCAGAACGUCCAUGAGACACUUGGUCCAUGAUCUAUUGGGUCUACACCAAAGGUCCUUGAAAUCUGGUCCAGUCCAGAGCGUCCAUGAGACGCUUGGUCCAUGAUAUAUCUGGUCUACACCAAAGGUCCUUGAAGUCUGGUCCAGUCCAGAACGUCCAUGAGACACUUGGUCUAUGAUCUAUUGGGUCCACACCAAAGGUCGUUGAAAUCUGGUCCCGUCCAGAAGGUCCAUAAGACACUCGGUCCAUGAUCUAUUGGGUCUACACCAAAGGUCCUUGAAAUUGGUCCUGUCCACAUUUGAUCCACAUCAAUAGGUCCUUCGUAUCUGGUCAUACUUGGUUCUGUCCAAAACGUCUAUGGAGACAUUUGUUCUGCCCCAAAAGGUCCUUCGUAUUUCGUGCUCCUCUAAGACCAUUUGGCGUGGACUGAAUACUCUCAUGGCCUGCGCUCACUGCCUCCCGUCUCUGCAAACGCUCCCUCCUUCCUCGUGUCGUCUUCCACCAUCUUGUCUCCACAAGUCGCUGCCCGUCUUCCCGAGGGCAAAUUCUUGUCAAGAUUAUGACUCCUCCCUUCAGGUCCAAACUCCAAUUAAAACGACCGGCUGUUCAAACAGGGGGAAAUUAGUGUCCACCCUGAAAAGCAGCUUGGGGUGGCGCUCCGAUACCCAAAACGUGGAAGGGUGUUAGCUGGACGUGGCUCAGCAUAAAACAGAGCAAAACACAAACCAGAGUUAUCGAAAAAGGAAGAACAGAUUUUAGUUAAAAAAAAAAAAUAUAUAUAUAUAUAUAUAUAUGAUACAUAAGAUUUCCAAGAUUCAGAGGAAAUUGGAACAUUGGAUUCUAAGAAAUGAGCAAACUGACAUAAUGGUCUGCACAAAAUAGAAAAAAAAUACCAUGACUGCUGAGUUAAAAAUAUCGAUGUGGGCAGUUUGCACUCUGAGAAAUCAAAUUUUGGGAAAACAGAAAACCGACAAUGAGAGAAUGUUUCCGGCAUGCAGAGGAAAGCAUAAAACGCUGGGGGGAAAGCAAAAUAAGAGGAAAAUAGCGAUAUUGAGAUAAUUUCCGAAAUCCAACUUGUGAGAAGGAGCAUUUUCUCCCAAGGAAUUUGGGAUCGAGGGGUCGGAAGCGAUCAUUAUAGAAAUUGCAGAAGAUGAGUAUGGUCAGACGUAAAAACUGAAAAGUGACGAUACGCGGAGUUCUCAGUGAAAACUGGAAAGAGAACCAGUUCUGGACAUAUGGUGGUGGCAUUUGUCCAAAAAAAAAAAGAUAAAAUAAAAUUCCACAAAUAUUCACUCUGUUUCACUCCAUCAUCGUGCAGGGCUGGAAAGUCACCUGGCAGAUGGGAAACCGAUUUCUACGUAAACGAGUGAAUAUUGCCCGGAAAUAGAUUUCUCCCCUAAAUCAGGCUGUUUUGGGCACGGUCUCGAUUCUCGCCUCCAGAGCCAUCAGACGAUGUCAAGAGGCUUUCUUCUUAAUCCAGACGUCAAAAAACAUCAAAAAAAAAAAAAAAAAACAAGAGUGAGACAUUAUAAUUCUCAAAUAUUUUAGCUAAACUCAGGGGGCACCCGGCUCAAACCCGUGUUCGGAUCCAUCGAGCCGUGUGGGACAGGAACCAAUACCCUUAACGGGGAUUUUCUGACUUUGGGACCAAACGGUUUGCGUAUUCCUUCUCUGAGGGACGAAAACGAGAUUAGUCGAUCGAAAUCUGUUCGAUUUGGUGCUCCUCCGAGCGUGGGAAACGCCGUUCCACGACAAAAUUUAGAAUAUGGGAAGUCUUUUUAAGAAUUAGACUAUUUGCUAAAAAUCCCUUUACCUGGCGCGUGCCACCAAAAAUUGUGCUUCUUCGAGAAAGAGGCCCGAGGCGAGCGAUGGUGGGAACCCGGCGUCCGCGACUCGGCUGAAAUGUCUCAUCUUUUGUGAUUUCAGAAAUUUCAGCGUCGUCCCUUUACCUCAUGGAGGACCCUACUCAGUAGUUAGAAAGCGGAACUGUGAUCAAGACGAGUGGGAGGAGGAGGAGGAGGAGGAGUUGUAGGAGUAAUAGCAGGAGUAUAAUUGCCAUUGGAGUAUCUAGUAGUUGUAGGAGUAGUAAUAGUAGGAGUAGUAACUGUCAUUGUGGUAGCUAUUAGUAGUAGUAGGAGUAGUAAUAGUAGGAGUAGUAAUUGUCAUUGUGCUAGUAGGAGUAGGAGUAGUAAUAGUAGGAGUAGUAAUUGUCAUUGUGGUAGCUAGUAGUAGUAGGAGCAGGAGUAGUAAUAGUAGGAGUAGUAACUGUUAUCGUGGUAGCUAGUAGUAGUAGUAGCAGUAGGAGGAGUAGUAAUAGUAGGAGUAGUAAUUGUCAUUGCAGGAGCAAUAGUCACAAUAGUGGCACGAGUUGUAGGAGUGACACUCAUUAUAGGAACAGUCGUAGCAGCCGUAGUUAUGGUGGUUUGACUAGAAGGAGCAUCUGCAGCAGUAGUCGUCACAGUUGUAGCACUCAUACAAGUGUACUAGUACUCAUAGUUGUAGUAGCAGGAAGAAUAAUGACUGCAGCAGGUGUGGUACUAGGAACAGCAGUCGUCGUAGUACUCAUAAUUGCUGUGGUGACAGCAGUUGUAGCAGUCAUAAUAAUGGUGGUAAUACUCGCGGCCGUGGUAGUUUUGGUAGUAGCAGUCAUUGCUGUAGUUGUAGUAGUAGCGCUAAUUGUUACAGUAACAAUAGUUGUAGCAGCGGUUGCAACCGUAGCACUGGUACUAAGAGUAGUAGUAAUAAGAGUAGUAGUAGCAGUAAUUGUUGCAGUACUAAUUGUUGUCGUAACAUUGGUGGUAGUAGUAGCAGGAAUUGUGGUAGC